AGAGUUUGAUCAUGGCUCAGAGUGAACGCUGGCGGCGUGCUUAACACAUGCAAGUCGAACGGGACUUACCUGAGAUUACAUCAAAGGUAAGUUUAGUGGCAGACGGGUGAGUAUCACAUGGGUGAUCUUCCUUCGAGAGGAAAAUAACUCGCCGAAAGGCGAGCUAAUGUUCCAUAAGACCACGACCUUUCCUACGAAAGGUUGGGGCCAAAGCUCCGCAAGGGGCACUUGAGGAUGAGCCUGUGUCCUAUCAGCUAGUUGGUGAGGUAACGGCCCACCAAGGCUAAGACGGGUAGCCGACCUGAAAGGGUGAUCGGCCACACUGGAACUGAGACACGGUCCAGACUCCUACGGGAGGCAGCAGUGGGGAAUUUUGGACAAUGGGGGCAACCCUGAUCCAGCAACGCCGCGUGAAGGAUGAAGGUCUUCGGAUUGUAAACUUCUUUUGUAGGGGACGAAUCACGCCGUGAAUAACGGUGAAUGACGGUACUCUGCGAAUAGCC
rnacentral:rRNA from 1 species